rnacentral:rRNA from 1 species
UUCCGCAAUGGGCGAAAGCCUGACGGAGCAACGCCGCGUGAGUGAUGAAGGUCUUCGGAUCGUAAAGCUCUGUUGUUAGGGAAGAACAAAUGUGUAAGUAACUGUGCACAUUUUGACGGUACCUAACCAGAAAGCCACGGCUAACUACGUGCCAGCAGCCGCGGUAAUACGUAGGUGGCAAGCGUUAUCCGGAAUUAUUGGGCGUAAAGCGCGCGUAGGCGGU